rnacentral:rRNA from 1 species
AGAGUUUGAUCCUGGCUCAGGACGAACGCUGGCGGCGUGCUUAACACAUGCAAGUCGAACGGUAAGGCCCUUCGGGGUACACGAGUGGCGAACGGGUGAGUAACACGUGGGUAAUCUGCCCUGCACAUCGGGAUAAGCCUGGGAAACUGGGUCUAAUACCGAAUAGGACCACAGGACACAUGUCCUGUGGUGGAAAGCUUUUGCGGUGUGGGAUGGGCCCGCGGCCUAUCAGCUUGUUGGUGGGGUAAUGGCCUACCAAGGCGACGACGGGUAGCCGGCCUGAGAGGGUGACCGGCCACACUGGGACUGAGAUACGGCCCAGACUCCUGCGGGAGGCAGCAGUGGGGAAUAUUGCACAAUGGGCGCAAGCCUGAUGCAGCGACGCCGCGUGAGGGAUGACGGCCUUCGGGUUGUAAACCUCUUUCAGCACAGACGAAGCGCAAGUGACGGUAUGUGCAGAAGAAGGACCGGCCAACUACGUGCCAGCAGCCGCGGUAAUACGUAGGGUCCGAGCGUUGUCCGGAAUUACUGGGCGUAAAGAGCUCGUAGGUGGUUUGUCGCGUUGUUCGUGAAAGCUCACAGCUUAACUGUGGGCGUGCGGGCGAUACGGGCAGACUUGAGUACUGCAGGGGAGACUGGAAUUCCUGGUGUAGCGGUGGAAUGCGCAGAUAUCAGGAGGAACACCGGUGGCGAAGGCGGGUCUCUGGGCAGUAACUGACGCUGGGGAGCGAAAGCGUGGGGAGCGAACAGGAUUAGAUACCCUGGUAGUCC